rnacentral:rRNA from 1 species
CCUACGGGAGGCAGCAGUGGGGAAUAUUGCACAAUGGGGGAAACCCUGAUGCAGCAACGCCGCGUGAGUGAUGACGGCCUUCGGGUUGUAAAGCUCUGUCUUCAGGGACGAUAAUGACGGUAGCCGAGGAGGAAGCCCCGGCUAACUACGUGCCAGCAGCCGCGGUAAU